UUUGAUUUAACCAGACCAUUAGAUUUGACGUUAGGCCAAUGUUAACUGUUAACUAGCAUGAAAUGGCUAGAAAAUGAGCUUAAGUUACCAAUGUACUAAAGCGUAACGUUAAUCAGUUUUAAAUGUUGUACAUCUAGGCUACAUAGCAAUUUAUUUGGUGACUGUUUGCAGGCAAACCUGCCUAUGAAAUGUUGGAGUGUGAUCCUGACUGGGCCUGGGAUAUGUGGUGCCUUGUGAGGGGGAGGAUAAGUAUGGGCUGAAAUAUGUGCCACCAGAAACUGAAUUUGAACCCUUUAUAUUUGAAUUUGAAUGGCUAAACUUGAAUAAUUGCAUUGAAAAACUGAAUUUGAAUCACAUAAUUUGAAAUUGUAUUGUUUAAUUAAAACUGAAUUUAUUCAAAAACUGAAUCUGAAUUGUAUCAUUUGAAAUUGAAUUUAUUCGUUUGGAACUGAAGUCCAAUAAAAUUUGAUCCUCACUGAAAAUUAAACUCUCUAUAUAUCUUCACAUUCACUUCUCACAAUUCAGAUUCAGUUCUCAAAUUCAAUUUCAAGUUACUGAGACAGACAUCCGGGUAGUUGGAGGAUGAAGGAAGAGCAAUCGAGCGCAGAUCGAUAGAUAGCGUUCAUUGGCGCACAGGACUCCUCUUGGGCCAAUCAGCACCAAUGUUUUGGAGCACAGGGCGUUACCCGCCAUGAAACAAAGAAGUGCUUGCCUGACUUGCGUGACCACCACCAUGGAUUCGGCUGGGACAAAUACGAUUCCUGCUGCUCCAGUAGCUCUGAUCGACUUCUCUGCUAAAGCCAAAAAAAAAAAGCUUGACCGUUCUAUUGAUGGCAGGACAACUGAAAACCAGUUAUGGAUGCAAACAUGAAGCACAAGCCAGAGGAGUCUAUGAGAAGCUGAUGGGUCGGGAGCAUGCAGGCUUCUCCUGUAUGGACAGUGGUCUCUGGCUGAACCCCAAGUGGCCAUACAUGGGGUCCU